UACGUAGGGUCCAAGCGUUAAUCGGAAUUACUGGGCGUAAAGCGUGCGUAGGCGGUUUCGCAAGUCCGAUGUGAAAUCCCCGGGCUUAACCUGGGAACUGCGUUGGAAACUACGAAGCUAGAGUGCGGCAGAGGGGGGUGGAAUUCCAGGUGUAGCAGUGAAAUGCGUAGAGAUCUGGAGGAACACCGAUGGCGAAGGCAGCCCCCUGGGCUAGCACUGACGCUCAUACACGAAAGCGUGGGGAGCGAACAGG
rnacentral:rRNA from 1 species